rnacentral:rRNA from 1 species
AUUGAACGCUGGCGGCAGGCCUAACACAUGCAAGUCGAACGAGUGGCGGACGGGUGAGUAAUGUCUGGGAAACUGCCCGAUGGAGGGGGAUAACUACUGGAAACGGUAGCUAAUACCGCAUACCAUCGGAUGUGCCCAGAUGGGAUUAGCUAGUAGGUGGGGUAACGGCUCACCUAGGCGACGAUCCCUAGCUGGUCUGAGAGGAUGACCAGCCACACUGGAACUGAGACACGGUCCAGACUCCGACGGGAGGCAGAAGUGGGGAAUAUUGCACAAUGGGCGCAAGCCUGAUGCAGCCAUGCCGCGUGUAUGAAGAAGGCCUUCGGGUUGUAAAGUACGUGCAGCGGGGAGGCGUUACUCGCAGAAGAAGCACCGGCUAACUCCGUGUCAGCAGCCGCGGUAAUAC